rnacentral:rRNA from 1 species
UUGUCGGGUAAGUUCCGACCUGCAUGAAUGGAGUAACGACUGGAGCACUGUCUCAACCAGCGACUCGGUGAAAUUGUAGUCGUGGUGAAGAUGCCACGUACCCGCAGAAAGACGGAAAGACCCCAUGAACCUUUACUAUAGCUUCGCACUGGCAUCAGGCAUGUGAUGUGCAGGAUAGGUGGUAGGCUUCGAAACCGGGACGCCAGUUCCGGUGGAGCCAUCCUUGAGAUACCACCCUUCGCUCGC